AAGAAAGAAAUGGAUUGCCCAAUCGCAGCCCCAGCCCCAGCCCUGUUUCCCAUCCCACCCCCCGCGAGUCCUCCCCUUCUUCCUCUCCCUCUCCCUCGUCCGCCGCCGCCGCCGCCGACGACCUACCUCCUCGGCCGCUGCUCCUCGCGCUCUAUAUGCUCCUCCACCGCAUGGAUUCGUCGAUCCCAUCCUUCUGUGGUUGCCUGCAUCGGUUUUACCCAUCUAGGGUUUCGGUGUGGUCGACCUACUCGUCGCCGGCGAUGCUCUGGUGCGUUGGUCCGUUCGUCUCCGUCUCCUGUCAUGCUCUCUCGUGGUGUUGUGCCUCCUGGAUGGCGCUCCUGUGCCUCGGAUGCAUGCCCCUCUCUCCCGAGCUCGAUGAGAAGCAGCGGCGCCCCCUUUCUCCCGAGCUCCAAAUCCAUCCCAACAGCGCUAAGGUAACCAGCGGCAGAGGCUCCCACCUAGCACCUCUCUCCUCCUGCCCCCUCCUUGCCCUCCUAUGUGUUUUCGAUUUUUUCUGCGUGUGCUUGCACGUUCAUGGAUCUAGAUAGCAGAUUAUGUUUUCUGUGUAAUAUUUCAUAGGCUUAAACUUCAAGGAGUAGAUGUAAUGCUUUUGUCUUUUGCCUCCCUCCAUGUUAUCAGUACAGGGAUCCUAAUUUGGGCUCUGCUCCAAUCAACAAAUAGAGUGCAACCCUUGAGUUCAUCCCGAUAGAGUGGCAGUCACAUAAGAUGGAGCAUGGAAAUGGACGAGCAGUCCAUAUUAUUCAAUUGGGUUUGACUGCAUCUCGUCUAACUAAUGUAUGCCAUAUUACUAUGUUCGUUUCCUUUAGUUUUUUUCAUUACUCUGUAAGUAUGAGUAAUAGGCUCUUAGCUGGUGCUUGCUUCAGAUUUUGGUAGCUAAUAUUAAGCUUAGCAAUGCAAAUGUGUAGGUGUUGAUGUUUGUGCUAUGUUGUAGAACUCGGGUCAUGAAAGUUGGAUCCUAAGAACUUCUGUUCAUUUCACUAAAAAAUUCUGAAGGCUGCGGAAGUGUAUAACAAGUUAUCCAACAGAAGUACACUGAGCCUUCUAAGAUUGACCUAUGUGUAUUAGAUAGUUGCAUAUAUGAGCACUUGUCACUAAAGCAUAUUUUCUGGCAAUGACUGUUAGAGACGGACAAACACAACUGGAAGAAAAUGAUGGAAAGUACAGCUUGUGGCAAGAAAGUUUCAUUAGACAUUUUGAAAGGUACGAGCUGGGAGCAAUAUAGGUGAUCAAGUUAGUAUGGUAUAUCCCUCUUCUGUUCUACUUGUUUUUCCUUUGUGAUGGAUGUGCCUAUUCUGCUUGUUGGUAUGCAUAAUUGCAUAUGCAAUCAACUUCUUUGCUUCUUCCUCCUUCGCCAUGUAUUAGUAUUAUGCCCAUGAUCUUCAAAUUUGAUAUAUGAUGUAGGUCAGAGGCCUCUCUUAAAAUUGCCGUAAUCAUGAAAUUAUUAUCACCUAUAUAAUACCUGAAACUAGCACUCUUAAUAAUGAUAAAUUGUUCAUUCUACCUAAAAAUAUUCUAAGUAUGCGAGGCUAGCUUUUCAAACAUAAAUGUUUGGCUCUUUUUGUGUGCGUCUAUAUUUGUUCCAUAAAGUAUCAUUUGAACCAUUGUGCUUAAAUAAACAUUGAAAAGCCUAAUUUUUGUCUUUCUGAUGCCUUUCGUAAAGAACUGAUGAUCGAUAGUGACAACAUUACACAUGAUUAAGCUGUAGCACUAAGUUGUCCCUAUGAUUCGUAUAUCUGAGUGAAGUAUAACGAUCUAUCUGAUCAAUCCAUUUAACUGUUUUCAAGGUGGUUUGGUGUGCGAAAAACUGUUGGACUUGAUAGUUAAUGAGCGUGUUGUUAUCAGGGUUCGGGCUGGGUCAUCGGUCUGGGCUGCUCAUGCCUAGGUUUACAUGCAAGUUAUAUGAAAUAUGUGUGUAUAUCUUAAUGUUCUCUACCAGUUAAGAGUGGAGAUGCCCUUUUCUAGGCAUGCAAUGGCAACCUGGUUGAUUGCAGCUUCUUCCUUGAGGUCUUCAAAUACCUGAUAUGUCUCAACAUAUUGAUACUUUUUGUAUGUUUCAUACUCCAAUACUAUCAAUUAUACACUUUGGGCA